UCAUCUGUAAAUUAAAGCAAUAACUUAUCUAAAGAAAUGGAGCCAGGAAAAAUGCGUGCGCAACAGGAGGAAGGGACAUGGCACAUCUUCAUGCAUGCUUUAUUAAAAUGUCCACUGUGGGGCCUUCUUACAAGGUUCUGUUUCAGAUUUGAAAACCGGGUCAUCUUCAGCUCUGCUUCCAGUGUUAAAAUCAGGACCACGCAGACCUGAAGCCGGGCUCACAUGGAAAUAUUACAGACUGGACAAACCAGCACCAUAGGCUGGGGGAAAAACAUAAAAACCUCAGCAUCAAAACAAAGUCUUCAUCUGCGUAAAAAAAAAAAGUCUCCAUCAGAGAACCUGUCCUUCAUUUACCACCACGCCCAGUGUUUGACUUCAGUUUUAAGUGUCCGACUUCUCGCUUUGUGAAAUGCAUCAGAUACCAGCGAUUAGCAUGCAUCGCUCCUUCAGCAGUAUUUGAGUGGGUGGGAUCAGCAGCCUCAAUCCCGCUCACCAUUCACAGUGUCUGACUGACAGGUAGCAGCAAUCCUCCUGCUGACCAGCAGGUGGGGGGCUGGAGUCAACAAGGUUUGAAAUGUUGGAGUUGGAGAAGGCGGCAGCAGGUCGUCUGUGCAACCACGUCCCCUGCUGCUGUCGCCUCCUGAGGUCAGUCCACACCAGAAUCACAGUGCAAGUCAGCAGAUACCACUAACCAGAUCCCAGCUGGGAAGGCACAGGUGCACUCUGGGUAACCACACACAACCUACACCCUGAACAGAGGAACCAGGUA